UAACAAAUAUGUGAGCAACAUAACAAAUUUUACAGUAUAUAUACUGUGACCAGGGAAUUCCAUUCUGGGAAACGUUUAUAAAAGACACACAGGAUGGAGAUAUGUAAAGCCAGCUUCAUUUAUAAUGGCUGGAAGCAUCUUGGCUAUCCAUCAGAGCAGAAUUUCAUUUUACUUUAUCAGUGUUCUGAAAUACCAUGAUGUCAACAACAGAAAGUGAAAUGUAUUUACAGAUUU